AGGAGACCCAGUUGGCAGAGGGAAGGCUUAGGCGGCGAGGGGAGGGCGAGCCGACAGACCCCGCCCUGUGGGCCGGACGAGGGAGGAGCCGGGGUUGCGGCGAGCGGAGGGGCGGGCUGGGCGACGCGCGGGAAGCAGCUCGACCGUUGCCAGCGGCACCGGAGGCAGCGCAGGUGACCGCACUCCAAGAAGGCCGAUUGGCCGCGUCUCUACCGAGAGGCGUGGUCCCGGCCGGAAGUCAGGCCACGUGACCCGGAAGCGGCUUUUGCCAAGGCCUGUGCGCCUGCGCGCUCCUGCGCGUACCUUCGGAACUCGGGCGGGCGGCUACCUCACCUACCCAGUGGUGGGAGCGCAGGGUUCCGAGGUGCCCUUUGUCGACCCCGCUGUGCGGGGCAGGGAAGGUCAGGAUCGCCAAGAGCCAAGUUCGAGCUCCGAUAACUCUCCGUGCCCGAAGAGGGCGGGGCGGGGAGGCGUCACUGCCGGUGGUGAUGGUGAGGAGAGUGAGGGAGUGCUGCACCUCUGGGGAAAACAAGUCAGCUCUGUCGAGGAGCUCGUGCACGCGUUGAGGGCCUUUUGCAAUCAUUCUGCCUCCAAACUGCCUGGAAUCCGGCACGUCCUUCCCAUUGCACUGCUACAGCCCUAGACACCUUUUGCCCCAAGCCGUGCGAGUGUCUUUUCCCUGGGCUUGUCUCGCCAGUCCUCAGUGCUGCGGACCUGAUGAAUUACUGUCCGUUCUCUGCCGAAAAGCCCCGACCGCAUCUCGUCUUUGAGAUCCCACUUCCUUCACACGGACUCGCGCCCCCCGCCCCCAAAGCCGCCUGUGUUCCAGUUAAGCCUUGCCGAAGACUUGCUCUGCCUGGCAUGCACUUCCUCUCAAAUGUUACAUCUAUGAAGCCUCACCCUCAAACCCUGAGACAUUUAUUACAAACUCAUUUCUCAUGGAACAAGAGCAUGCACUUUCAUGGUGCGAGGCUGUCUGAUGCUUCCCAGGUUUCAGUGGCCCAGGCAGAUAAAGGAAAAUUGAACAAGGUCAGAAGAGAGAAGAACAGAUCUGUCCUUAAGUAGGAAAGAUAACCGUGUUGCCAGUAUACAGAAGGGGAACAAAUGAAGUAUUUCUGGCAGAUUAUCGUUCAGAUCCAGAUGUUGAAUGGGGGAGCAGGUAAGAAAUUUUAUCUUGCGCUUCAUAGGCAUGUCAAGUGAAAAGAUGAAUUGUAUUUUCUUUUUAAAUGCACAAAUAGAUGGCUAUGAAUUGGACCCUGAAUGAAAAUAUAUUUAGGAUCUAAUCAAAUUUCUAUGAAUUUGAAUACA